rnacentral:lncRNA from 1 species
CAUUUAAAUAAAUACACCACUUUCUUUUCAUAUAAUAAAUAUACUUAUUUGUAUACGCAAUACAUAAAUGUAAAAUGAUGAUAUAUUAAUAAUUGUCUUAGCAAAUUUUGAAAAUUGAAUCAAAUCAAAAUUUCAUGUAUAAAUUUGCACAAAUCAUAGUUCAUGUAUAACAUUGUACAUUUAAUCAAAGUUCAUGUAUAGUUUUAAGAUUUAUCUCACAAAAAAAAAAAAAACUCUGAAACUUCACCAAAUAAUGUCCAAAUGUCAUAAAAUAAAAUUCCAUUUUGUCAAAAUAAAUCCAAAAACCCAAAAC